AUUGGUUGGUAUGUUUAAACUCUAAAUGGUAGAGAUGGGCUUGAGCUGCAAAAUACGGAUCAGGGUCCAGAAGCUACCCUUUACCUCUCCACUUCCAGAUUCUUGCUAUGUGAAAGGGUUUUGUUCAGUGAAGAGGCGUUGUAAUACUCAUCCAUGCUGCAUACUGGCAAAGACAUCACAGAUGUGGGUGAUUUUCUCCAGGAAGAUAAAACCCUUGUGGUAGAGCUUUCUUCCUGCUUUGAGUACCAGAGUGAGGAUCUGAUUGUUUCCCAAGUUCAAAAGAAAAGAAAUACUCUGAGAAGACAAUAAAAAGCCUACUUGGGAAACUGAAAGAAUGGAGCCCCUGCUUUUAAUGGAUUAGACUAGACCAGACUUAUCUUUCAUUCCCUCCCCUGAUCCCAAGCAAGGUACAGUGGCAGGAGCUGCCAGAGAAUUGAGAACAGGAGAGACCAUGAGGAUGUACCUGUCAUUGACUCCAGAGAUCCCAGAGGAGUAUCUCUUGCUGUUGGAACUGAUGGAAUCAGUAUGAUAUUUUUUUUGUCAUAUCUGCUGCUGUUAUUACUUGGAGAAGAGAGUGAAUGAUGGGAAAAUCCAAUGCAUAGGCCUGAUCCAAAGUCUGUUGUAGUCACUGGAAAAGCUCCUACUGAGUCCAGUGGGCUUUGGAUUAGGAACAAGGUGCAUCACAAGUGCAAUCUGACACAUGGAAGUCCAAGAAUUCACAAGGUUUGGAGUGGAAGAAAGUAGAUCUGAACUUACACACACACACACACACACACACCCUAUCCUGCUCCAGAAGUCAAUGAGAGUUGUCACUUAUGUACACUUAAUCCACAGCCGAUUAGACAUCCUCAGUGGGAAAAGGCUGUAGGGGAGUUCUUAUUACAGUAGCCAGGGUGAGGUCUCCUCUGGUUUUAGCAGAGAUGUAGCAGCUGUGCUCUUUCUUCCUUUAACCCUGGGUUCCCUGAAUGGGAGAUACCAAAAAUAUCCUGUCUGUAGUCAAGAAAGACAUUUUUGCAAACAGAACUUGGAGGUGUAAGAUAGAUCGGUGAGAAGAAACUGGGAUAAGAAGGAUGGAGUGUAGCGUGGGGAGAGGGCAAGGACUGAAAGAAGUGAGAGCACAUGUAGAGAAGACGAUCAGAUAAGUCUAGAAUCCCUAAUAGUCUGAAAAUACCGGCUCUGCAUUAGAUUCCAUACUAUAGGGUAUUUGCACUUUACACCCAUCCAUCCAUCCGCUCUUUAAAUCUGAUGUGUCCAUAUAAUAUGCUACAUAUCUAUAUUUUCUCUCUCCAGAACUAAGUUAGUUAACUGAAAACAAGGUUUAUGUAAAUACCAUGAAUAUAUGAGGAGAGUUCUCCUUAAAGAGCUAUUUGAGUUGGUAUUGAUAUUAACAAGUUACACAUGCAUACAGUUAUCUGCUUUCAUAUCUUAAUGUUUUCCUUUUCCCACAAUGCUUGUUGCUGUGGCCUUUGUUCUAUUAAAUACCUGACUAAGGUGAUCAUUGCUCCAUAUCACGUUUCAGAAUAUAAUCAUAUGAAACGUCCAGCAAAUUGAUUAGCAACUAAUAAAGAAUGUUUCCAGUAAUUACUGUCACAACACUUAAAAUGCAUUAUCUGAUGUUUAUUCUGUGUGCUAACAAAUGUGAAUCAUUUAUGCAAAUUCAAGUAGUCUUGAAAUUCAGUUCUGAUUUGUACCCUGCAAGCAUUUGGACAAACUUAUGCAAUGAUUUGCUGCUCAGCAACCAUUUAGUCUUGGCAUUUUAAGUUAGGUUAAGUCAAGUAACAAUUAAACUAUUUUUCAAACUAUUGACAUGUGAAACGUAGCGCUAUCCAACUUUCCCAAGUCUGCAAAGUUUGGUUUGAAAUCUCACGGAAACAG